UCCGGAAGUAAACAACACAAAGCUGCUUUUGCUCUCAAGAAAAGAAGCGCGCUUGGGAAGUAAUUACUUAUUUGUUUGCUGUAUUCAGUAACAUGUAUGGUGCAGGCAUGGAUCUGUGGUUAAGAAGGUUACUUUCCAAUAAAUGGGUUUCUGGUUCAAUCCCGCUACAUGACGCCUUGAGUGAGUUUCUUCUACUACAAACCUGGGUUGACCAAAGCCUCAUUAAUUGACUUGGUAGAUGGAUUACAAUCGACUCCAGUGCUCAACUGGUACUUAUUUAAUAAAAAUGUCACUGAUUGAAAAAGCUCAUCAUACACACACACACACACAUGGAUGGAAAGAGGUGACAAAUAAAAUAGCAGUCAAGUACUGGAGUUUAUAUAGCUGAACAAACAGUAGUACAAGAAGCAAUAAAAUAACCUCACUGGAAAAAAUAAAUUAAUUAAAAAUUAAUUAAGU